UGAGGAAUAUUGGACAAUGGGCGCAAGCCUGAUCCAGCCAUGCCGCGUGAGUGAAGAAGGUCUUCGGAUUGUAAAGCUCUUUUGCCAGGGACGAUAAUGACGGUACCUGAAGAAUAAGCACCGGCUAACUCCGUGCCAGCAGCCGCGGUAAUACGGAGGGUGCGAGCGUUAUCCGGAAUUACUGGGUUUAAAGGGUGCGUAGGCGGCUUUGUAAGUCGGGAGGGAAAGUUUGCGGCUCAACCGGAAAAU
rnacentral:rRNA from 1 species